rnacentral:rRNA from 1 species
GUUGUAUGGUUAAGUGACUUAGGCGUACAGGGCGGAUGCCUUGGCAAUCAGAGGCGAUGAAGGACGUGCUAAUCUGCGAAAAGCUUGGAUGAGUCGAUAAGAGGCGUUUAAUCCAAGAUAUCCGAAUGGGGAACCCAGUAGAUGAAGAAUCUACUAUCAAUAAAUGAAUACAUAGUUUAUUGAGGCGAACCGGGAGAACUGAAACAUCUAAGGUACCCCGAGGAAAAGGAAAUCAACCGAGAUUCUGUGAGUAGCGGCGAGCGAAAGCGGAAGAGCCAGUAAGGUUUUAGCUAGCAUAUUAGAGGAAUUGGCUGGGGAGGCCAAAUCAAAGAGGGUGGUAAUCCCGUACUCGAAAGUAUGUUAGUGGAACUAAGCUUACGAUAAGUAAGGGCGGGACACGAGAAAUCCUGUUUGAAGAUGGGGGGAGACCAAUCCUCCAAGGCUAAAUACUCCUGAUUGACCGAUAGUGAACCAGUACUGUGAAGGAAAGGCGAAAAGGAACCCCGGUGAGGGGAGUGAAAUAGAAACUUGAAACCCUGUACGUACAAGCAGUAGGAGCGAGGGCAACCUUGUGACUGCGCACCUUUUGUAUAAUGGGCAGCGACUUAUAUUUUGUAGCGAGGUUAACUGAAUAAGGGAGCCGAAGGGAAACCGAGUCUUAACUGGGCAUUGAGUUGCAAGGUAUAGACCCGAAACCCGAUGAUCUAGCCAUGGGCAGGUUGAAGGUUGGGUAACACUAACUGGAGGACCGAACCCGACUAAUGUUGAAAAAUUAGCGGAUGACUUGUGGCUGGGGGUGAAAGGCCAAUCAAACCGGGAGAUAGCUGGUUCUCCCCGAAAUCUAUUUAGGUAGAGCCUUGAGCGGACACCUUCGGGGGUAGAGCACUGUUUCGGCUAGGGGUCCAUCCCGGAUUACCAACCCGAUGCAAACUGCGAAUACCGAAGAGUGAUACUUAGGAGACACACGGCGGGUUGCUAACGUUCGUCGUGGAGAGGGAAACAACCCAGACCGGCAAGCUAAGGGUCCCAAAGUCUAUAUUUAGGUGGGAAACGAAGUGGGAAGGGCUUUGGACAGCUAAGAAUGUUGGCUUUGGAAGCAGCCAUCAUUUAAGCGUAAUAGCCUCACUAGUCGAGUCGGCCUGCCGCGGAAAGAUGUAACGGGGGCUCAAAUAAUAGCACCGAAGCUGCGGCAAU